rnacentral:rRNA from 1 species
CUGCUUCCUGCCAUACUCUACAUUUCCCACCGCAUCGUGCGGCGUACUCUGGCCAAGAAGAAGCCGAGCAGCCAUGGCCUCACUAGCCACCCGCUGCUCGGCCACCUCUAUGCGUUCCUCAAGAACCGCCACCGCUUCCUCGACUGGUCGACCGACCUCAUCAUCGGCAGCCCGGAGCGGAGGAUGGGCUUCUGGAUUCCCGGGAUGAUCACCUGCAUCAUCACGGGCAACCCGGCCGACGUCGAGCACGUCCUGCGCACCAAUUUCGCCAACUACCCCAAAGGCGACAGCACCAUCCCCGUCAUGGGCGACUUCCUCGGCCACGGCAUCUUCAACUCCGACGGGGAGCAGUGGCUCUGGCAGCGGAAGAGCGCCAGCCGUGAGUUCACCACGCACUCGCUCCGCGGUUUCGUCAUCGAUUCCGUGCAGUCCGAGGUCAGAAACAGGCUGCUGCCGUUGCUGCGACGCGCGGGGGCCAGCGGCGGCCACAGGGUUCUCGACAUGCAGGACGUGCUCGAGCGAUUCGCGUUCGAUACCGUCUGCAUGAUCUCCUUCGGCCACGACCCGUGCUCCCUCGCCGACGACGGUGUCUUGACAGACGGCAAGUCAGACUUCAUGCGUGCCUUCAUCGAGGCGCAAGAACUCACCGUUAAGCGGUGGCUGGAGGUCACCUGGAAGAUCAAGAGGUGGCUCGAUGUCGGCAAAGAGCGCCGCCUGAGGAAGGCCAUCGCCAACGUACAUGGGUUCGCCAUGGACAUCGUCCGCGCCCGCCGUCAAAGCUCGUCUGGGAAUAACAACAGAGGCGACCUUCUGUCAAGGCUCGUGGCGAGCGGCGAUCACGGCGACGAGGCGCUCCGGGACAUCGUCCUCAGUUUCCUGCUCGCCGGCCGCGAGACGACAUCCUCGGCGCUGACGUGGUUCUUCUGGCUCGUGUCGUCCCGACCGAACGUUGUCGCACGCAUCGCCGACGAGGUCCGCUCGGUUCGGUUCACAACGGGCACCCACCCUGGCGAUCCAUUCACGUUCGAUGAUCUCCGGAGCAUGCAGUACCUGCACGCCGCGCUCACCGAGUCGAUGAGGCUCUACCCACCGGUGGCGAUUGACUCCUCCGAGACAUGUGCGGCAGAUGACACGCUCCCUGAUGGCACGCACGUCGGUGCCGGCUGGUCCAUCACAUACAAUGCGUACGCCAUGGGGCGGCUCGCCACGAUAUGGGGCACAGACUGCGCCGAGUUCAAGCCCGAGCGGUGGCUCGACGACGAUGGGGCUUUCCGGCCGGUGAGCCCGUUCCUGUACACGGUGUUCCACGCCGGACCGAGGACGUGCCUUGGGAAGGAGAUGGCAUACGUGCAGAUGAAGUCCAUUGUCGCCAGUGUUCUCGAAGAAUUCGUGGUCGACGUCAUGGCAGAUAAGGCCGGCAGCGGCGUGCCAGAGCACGCGCUUUCGAUAACCCUGAGGAUGAAGGGUGGCUUGCCUGUCCAAAUAAGGAGAAGGCUGGAAGCCUAG